rnacentral:rRNA from 1 species
GGAGUUAGCCGGUGCUUCUUCUGUGAGUGAUGUCCUUCCUGCCGGCUAUUAACCCGCAGGCCUUCUUCCUCACUGAAAGUGCUUUACAACCCGAAGGCCUUCUUCACACACGCGGCAUGGCUGGAUCAGGGUUGCCCCCAUUGUCCAAUAUUCCCCACUGCUGCCUCCCGUAGGAGUCUGGGCCGUGUCUCAGUCCCAGUGUGGCUGAUCAUCCUCUCAGACCAGCUACGGAUCGUCGCCUUGGUGAGCCGUUACCUCACCAACCAGCUAAUCCGACAUAGGCUCAUCCGAUAGCGCGAGGCCCGAAGGUCCCCCGCUUUCCCCCGUAGGGCGUAUGCGGUAUUAGCCUGGGUUUCCCCAGGUUAUCCCCCACUACCCGGGCAGAUUCCUAUGCAUUACUCACCCGUCCGCCGCUCGCCACCAGGGAGCAAGCUCCCCGUGCUGCCGCUCGACUUGCAUGUGUUAGGCCUGCCGCCAGCGUUCAAUCUGAGCCAUGAUCAAACUCUGA